rnacentral:rRNA from 1 species
CAGACUUGGGCUUGGUUGAUCAUCCGGGGUUCUCCCCGGUGCACUCUUCCGGCUCAGGCCAGCAUCAGUUCGCCCUGGGGGAUAAAGGCAUCGGGAACGUGGCUCUCUCCGGGGAGUGUUAUAGCCCGUUGCGUAAUACCCUGUGGCGGACUGAGGUUCGCGCAUUCGCAAGGAUGCUGGCGUAAUGGUCAUCAGUGACCCGUCUUGAAACACGGACCAAGGAGUCGUCUUCGUAUGCGAGUGUUCGGGUGUCAAACCCCUACGCGAAAUGAAAGUGAACGCAGGUGAGAGCUUCGGCGCAUCAUCGACCGAUCCUGAUGUUAUCGGAUGGAUUUGAGUAAGAGCAUACGGGGCCGGACCCGAAAGAAGGUGAACUAUGCCUGUGUAGGGUGAAGCCAGAGGAAACUCUGGUGGAGGCUCGCAGCGGUUCUGACGUGCAAAUCGAUCGUCAAACAUGGGCAUGGGGGCGAAAGACUAAUCGAACCUUCUAGUAGCUGGUUUCCGCCGAAGUUUCCCUCAGGAUAGCAGUGUUGAACUCAGUUUUAUGAGGUAAAGCGAAUGAUUAGGGACUCGGGGGCGCUAUUUAGCCUUCAUCCAUUCUCAAACUUUAAAUAUGUAAGAAGCCCUUGUUGCUUAAUUGAACGUGGGCAUUCGAAUGAAUCAACACUAGUGGGCCAUUUUUGGUAAGCAGAACUGGCGAUGCGGGAUGAACCGAACGCGAGGUUAAGGUGCCAGAGUAGACGCUCAUCAGACACCACAAAAGGUGUUAGUACAUCUUGACAGCAGGACGGUGGCCAUGGAAGUCGGAAUCCGCUAAGGACUGUGUAACAACUCACCUGCCGAAUGUACUAGCCCUGAAAAUGGAUGGCGCUCAAGCGUCUCACCCAUACCUCGCCCUCAGGGUAGAAACGAUGCCCUGAGGAGUAGGCGGACGUGGAGGUCAGUGACG